GAGAGCGCAGCCCAAACCACCCAGCCUGCCUUCCGUCUGCUCCGCGGCUGGCACGCUCCGGCCGAGGGACACACGCCUCCCAAGGGACCCAGAGUCUGCACCAAGGGACCCAGAGUCGCACCAAAGGACCCAGAGUCUGCACCAAGGGACCCAGAGUUUGCACCAAGCGACCCAGAGUCUGCACCAAGGGACCCAGAGUUUGCACCAAGCGACCCAGAGUCUGCACCAAGCGACCCUGAAUUUGCACCAAGGGACCCAGAGUCUGCACCAAGGGAUCCAGAGUCUGCACCAAGGGACCCAGAGUCUGCACCAAGGGACCCAGAAUUUGCACCGAAGGCCCCAGAGUCUGCACCAAGGGACUCAGAAUUUGCACCGAAGGACCCAGAGUCUGCACCCAGGGGACCCAGAGUCUGCACCAGGGGACCCAGAGUCUGCACCCCCCUAAGGUGCUGCCACCGUCUCGCUCCCAGAGCAGCGAGACCAGCACGCCCCCCACCCCCACCCCCACCCCCCCGCACCCCCAAGGGGAUCCCGGGGCAGGGCAGAGAGCGAACUGCAGAACCAAACCCGCGAUGUCUCCAACUCGCAAUCCUCCCGCGGAGCACCGAGACCUGCUCCAGGACGCUGGGCGCUGGGCGGGCUCCCGAUGCCCCUAGGCCGCCCCCCCCCCGCCCCAGCGGACCUCAGCAGCGCCCGCCGAGCCGCGCCCUCCGCUCCAGGGCUCCGGGAGCCCCCGCCGGCUCGCUCGCCCUGCCGCCCCCUUUCGGACUAGGGACCUCGCCAAGGUGCCGCCCCGCCUCGGGGCGAGGCAGAACCCCCGGAGCAGCCCACCAGGCGGCCCGGCCCCUGCAGGGCGCACACACCUCGCCCCGAGCACGGAGGCGCCGCUCCAUCACCCAGGGACGCCAAACCCUCCGGCUCGGAGGACCCUCCGGACCCCCGGGACCCGCCUCUUCCGACACGGAGCACCCGCCCAGCCGACCGCUCUGCCCGCCGGGCGCCGGCGACCGCGCCGACAGGAGCCCCCCGUCCCGGAACCCCCGGACCCCGCACGUCCUCGUGGACCCCGCGCCCCGCCCCCCGCCCUCCCGCGCCCCGCGGAGCCGCCCCCGUCGGGAGCCAGCCCGCCCCGACCGCUCCGCAGCCCGGGAGGCGCGCCCGGGGCUUCCUCACCUGGGGGCGCCGGAGGGCGAGCGGACCGAGCAGCCCCGAGCCGGAGAAGGCGGCGGCAGGGAAGGGGCGGCCCAGGCCUGCGGCUGCCGCAGCUCCGAGCUCCCCGCCAGGCAGCGCCCGUGUGUGCAGAGCCCUCCCGCUUCGCGCGCAGCCGGGAGACCGAGCCUCCGCCGUGCCCGCCGCUCUUCCCGCGAGAUCCCGGCCGCGGCCAGGGGGCGGCCGCGGCGGCUCGAGUGA
rnacentral:lncRNA from 12 species